rnacentral:rRNA from 1 species
GUUGAACGCUGGCGGCAUGCUUUACACAUGCAAGUCGAACGGUAACAGGGUGCUUGCACCGCUGACGAGUGGCGAACGGGUGAGUAAUGCGUCGGAACGUGCCGAGUAGUGGGGGAUGACGCAUCGAAAGGUGUGCUAAUACCGCAUACGUACUGAGGUAGAAAGUGGGGGACCUUCGGGCCUCACGCUAUUCGAGCGGCCGACGUCUGAUUAGCUAGUUGGUGAGGUAAAGGCUCACCAAGGCGACGAUCAGUAGCGGGUCUGAGAGGAUGAUCCGCCACACUGGGACUGAGACACGGCCCAGACUCCUACGGGAGGCAGCAGUGGGGAAUUUUGGACAAUGGGCGCAAGCCUGAUCCAGCCAUGCCGCGUGUCUGAAGAAGGCCUUCGGGUUGUAAAGGACUUUUGUCCGGGAGCAAAUACCCAGUGCUAAUAACGCUGGGGGCUGAGAGUACCGGAAGAAUAAGCACCGGCUAACUACGUGCCAGCCGCCGCCGUAACAC